rnacentral:rRNA from 1 species
AUGUUUUUGUUACUCUUAACAUUAGAUGUAGAGAAGCUUAGGCAGAAGUCAAUUUUUAUGUUUUCUCAAUGUGAAUCAGGUGCACUCGCCGGUCCCUCACCAGCCUCCGCGACCAACCAUCCACCGAUCAAUGGGGCGCCUCUAGGCAUCUGCGCCGCCUUCUGGAGCAAUGCCCUUCUCUGCAAGCUGCAGUCACUGGUCUUGCCCUGCUCGAGGAGGAGGAGUAGGAGGGCCGCACCUAGGCACCAUGGUAAGACGAUCCAGUAUGCCAAACCUGAACUUCACUUUUUUCUUGGUAUUCCUUCUCGUUCAACUGCUUCCAUUAUGAAACAAAGCAUCUGA